rnacentral:rRNA from 1 species
CCUACGGGUGGCUGCAGUGAGGAAUAUUGGUCAAUGGCCGAGAGGCUGAACCAGCCAAGUCGCGUGAAGGAAGACUGUCCUAUGGAUUGUAAACCUCUUUUAUAAAGGAAUAAAGUCACCCACGUGUGGCUUUUUGAGUGUACUUUAUGAAUAAGCAUCGGCUAACUCCGUGCCAGCAGCCGCGGUAAUACGGAGGAUCCGAGCGUUAUCCGGAUUUAUUGGGUUUAAAGGGAGCGUAGACGGGUUGUUAAGUCAGUGGUGAAAGUGUGGGGCUCAACCGUAAAAUUGCAGUUGAUACUGGCAGCCUUGAGUGCACGUGAGGUAGGUGGAAUGCGUGGUGUAGCGGUGAAAUGCUUAGAUAUCACGAAGAACUCCGAUUGCGAAGGCAGCCUACUGAACUGCCACUGACAUUGAAGCUCGAAAGUGUGGGUAUCAAACAGGAUUAGAUACCCGAGUAGUC